rnacentral:misc_RNA from 1 species
GAUGAAGAACGUAGCGAAAUGCGAUAAGUAAUGUGAAUUGCAGAAUUCAGUGAAUCAUCGAAUCUUUGAACGCAUCUUGCGCUCCUUGGUAUUCUGAGGAGCAUGCCUGUUUGAGUGUCAUUAAAUUCUCAACCGCACUGACUUUGAAUUGGUGUGGCUUGGAUUUGGGGGGAAAAUUGUUGUGGGCUUUUUUGUAUAGUCUGCUCCCCUGAAAUUGAUUAGCGGUACCUUUGUGGAACUGUCUACAGGUGUGAUAAUUAUCUACAUCCUAGACAUCUGCUGGAAUGCUGCUUUCUAAACCUUACUUGUAUUGACAAUCUUGACCUCAAAUCAGGUAGGACUACCCGCUGAACUUAAGCAUAUCAAUAAGCCGGAGGA